rnacentral:rRNA from 1 species
UACGAAGGGGGCUAGCGUUGUUCGGAAUUACUGGGCGUAAAGCGUGCGCAGGCGGCUUCCCAAGUCAGGGGUGAAAUCCUGGAGCUCAACUCCAGAACUGCCUUUGAUACUGAGGAUCUUGAGUUCGGGAGAGGUGAGUGGAACUGCGAGUGUAGAGGUGAAAUUCGUAGAUAUUCGCAAGAACACCAGUGGCGAAGGCGGCUCACUGGCCCGAUACUGACGCUGAUGCACGAAAGCGUGGGGAGCAAACAGG